rnacentral:rRNA from 1 species
UACAGAGGGGGCAAGCGUUAUUCGGAAUUAUUGGGCGUAAAGGGCUCGUAGGCGGUUUGUCGCGUCGGGAGUGAAAACACGGGGCUUAACCCCGUGCCUGCUUCCGAUACGGGCAGACUAGAGGUAUGCAGGGGAGAACGGAAUUCCUGGUGUAGCGGUGAAAUGCGCAGAUAUCAGGAGGAACACCGGUGGCGAAGGCGGUUCUCUGGGCAUGUCCUGACGCUGAGGAGCGAAAGUGUGGGGAGCGAACAGG